GUUAGGGUGGCAGAGCCAAGUAUUGCAAAAGACCUAAGAUCUUUCCAACAGAAGUGCAAAUCUUCUCCUUAACU
rnacentral:tRNA from 1 species